rnacentral:rRNA from 1 species
UACGAAGGGGGCUAGCGUUGUUCGGAAUCACUGGGCGUAAAGAGCACGUAGGCGGUAUUGCAAGUUAGGGGUGAAAUCCCAGGGCUUAACCCUGGAACUGCCUUUAAAACUGCAAUGCUGGAGUCUCGGAGGGGAUGGUGGAAUAUCCAGUGUAGAGGUGAAAUUCGUAGAUACUGGAUGGAACACCGGUGGCGAAGGCGGCCAUCUGGACGAGUACUGACGCUGAGGUGCGAAAGCGUGGGGAGCAAACAGG